AACGUAGGGGGCGAGCGUUGUCCGGAAUUACUGGGCGUAAAGGGCGUGUAGGCGGCAAUGCAAGUCAGUCGUGAAACCCGCCGGCUUAACCGGUGGCUGGCGAUUGAAACUGCAUAGCUUGAGUGCAGGAGAGGGAAGUGGAAUUCCCAGUGUAGCGGUGAAAUGCGUAGAUAUUGGGAGGAACACCAGUGGCGAAAGCGGCUUCCUGGCCUGUAACUGACGCUGAGGCGCGAAAGCGUGGGUAGCAAACAGGAUUAGAAACCCCAGUAGUCC
rnacentral:rRNA from 1 species